rnacentral:lncRNA from 1 species
CCCUGUGGAAACUACAUGGCCACGGCAGUCACGCCUAGAAUCCUUUGUGCGGUGUUCACAUAGAAUGCUUUGGCCCCCAUUGUGCCACUCAGGGCACCUGCCUUGAAAUACCCGCGACGCUCGGAUCGGAGUCUGACGAUGGUCAGCAGGUGGCACUCUCGUUUUAGGAUUCCAGCCCCUAAAUGACAAUAACUGAGAGUCACUUUUCAUGUAGUAGAUCUGGCUCAAGACUUUUAUGAAAUGUGAAAUUUAAUAUUCAUUCCUGAAAUGAGGAUUCAUCUCUUUAAAAGCUGUUCACUAUUUCACUCCAGAUUUCUUUCAGAGUAAAUACUGAAAAGUCAAAGGACCUGUCAAGAUCAUCGGCCAUGACAGUGGCUGGAUGGAGGCCACCUCAUCCAUCUGGUCCUGGCAUUUCUGAGAAAGGACCAUGCUGAACCAUGCAGAGCAAAUUUGCAAGUGCUAUCUCAUGGACUGCCUCAUUGGUUGUCACAAUAAUACUGUGAGUUGGGAUUCCAUUUGAGAACCAACUCUAGUCAGCCUUCAGGCUGGUCCAUGAUCAAGGACCUACAAGACGAAGUGACAGCCCAGUGACUCUACAAGUUCACCUGUCCCUCAUCUCCACAGCCCUGCAGCAUCAAUGGGCAUGCUGUGAAUGCUGGAGGACUGACCAGCAUGCCCCGAUUGUUCUCUAUUACUUGGAGUGUUAAGUCUUAUCUCCUUGGCUAGAUUGAAAGAAUCGGGAAUAGAAGCUAUAUGCUAGAAAGCCAUGCACAGCCAGCCACUGUGGCUGUCCUACCUGGUAGCCCAGCUCACAUGAGACUGACCCAGGACACCACGGGACCACUCCAGACCCCCUGUUAACCUUUCCUGGCACAUCCAAGCAAAGGGCUGAUACUCACUGCAAGGUGGUGCCCCACCUUUCCACAGCCCAUCACCACCACCACCCUCUUCUCCAGAAUCUAGCUCUUUAGGCUAAUAUGGAAAUGAAGAAAAGAGGAUUUGUCCACGCAUGUGACUGAGGAGAUAGUUGGAGAGAUGGUCUUAGGGAAAGGUGGGUACAGUGAGGCAAAUGUCACCGUUUUCUCUCUCUCUCUCUCUCUCCCAGUCUAUCUUUGCUUAUCUUCGUAAAUUGGCUUCUUUCCCUCACCCUAAUCCAAACAGAUUAGAUCUAUUUGUCAUGGGGUACUGCUAAAACCAGGCUUAUGUCCUGUCAAGAGUAGCAACCCCAGAGGAAAGAGCCGCUCACUCCUGCUUCAGUAUAGAGAAUUCCCAGGGCCAAUUCUCAUUGGCCCAGCUUGGGUGACAUUUCCCUACUUUGACCUGUCAUCAGGUGUGAGGCUGGUGUUAGGAUUUUGCAGGGCGGUUAGUCGGGUGUUCAGGAAUAUGAUUGGAAUCCCCACCACAAACCCAGAAUCAACAGGAGCUGGGGCAAAUCAACAGGAGCUGGGGCAAAUCAGCAGGAACUGGGGCAAGGCAGUCUUCCAAAGGAAGGGACUAUUGAUGAUGCAGACACCAACUGUCUACCAUGAUGGUUUGUUCUGAAGAGUAACAUAUGAUUUGUGCAGCAGAAUUCCUCAUAAUAAUGAAGAAAACAAUGAGAGAUCAUGAAUGUUUGACCCCAUAUAUACACACACGUCUGCACAACUACCUACUGGCAAAUUCUCCUGGGGUGAGCAGUGGAAUUCAGUUCAGAAGUGAUCUUUUUUGGCAGAAACAAGUCAGGAGGAAUUCUACGUGAACACCAUCGGCCCUUGGUGUUAUGCCUGGCUCAAGCCAGCAUUAUCUGUCAUUCAGUUUCAGGAGCAUCUGACACACCUUUUCAUGCUGAGAGCUAAUUGCCCUAUUUUCAAACCUGGACCUGUCCCUCCAGUGAUAUUUUUCCAAUUGCAGUGAUAUAUUUGUGUAGCCAGCAAGCACUGCCAAAGCUAUAGCUAUUCUGGAGUGUCGUUGGGGUAGGGAGCAGGGGAAUUAUGCAGCAAUACAGUAAACAAAAGUAAAGCCUCUCUGAAUAAAAAGUUACAA